GUGGGGAAUUUUGGACAAUGGGCGCAAGCCUGAUCCAGCCAUGCCGCGUGUGUGAAGAGGGUCUUCGGAUUGUAAAGCACUUUAAGUUGGGAGGAAGGGCAGUAAGUUAAUACCUUGCUGUUUUGACGUUACCGACAGAAUAAGCACCGGCUAACUUCGUGCCAGCAGCCGCGGUAAUACGAAGGGUGCAAGCGUUAAUCGGAAUUACUGGGCGUAAAGCGCGCGUAGGUGGUUUUGUAAGUUGGAGGUGAAAUCCCCGGGCUCAACCUGGGAACUGCCUCCAAAACUGCAGGACUAGAGUACGGUAGAGGGUAGUGGAAUUUCCUGUGUAGCGGUGAAAUGCGUAGAUAUAGGAAGGAACACCAGUGGCGAAGGCGACUACCUGGACUGAUACUGACACUGAGGUGCGAAAGCGUGGGGAGCAAACAGGAUUAGAUACCCUUGUAGUCC
rnacentral:rRNA from 1 species